GACGGGGCCCGCACAAGCGGUGGAGCAUGUGGUUUAAUUCGAUGCAACGCGAAGAACCUUACCUGGGCUUGACAUCCCGAGAAUCCCCUGGAAACAGGGGAGUGCCCUUCGGGGAGCUCGGAGACAGGUGCUGCAUGGCUGUCGUCAGCUCGUGUCGUGAGAUGUUGGGUUAAGUCCCGCAACGAGCGCAACCCUUGUCUUUAAUUGCCAUCAUUGAGUUGGGCACUUUAAAGAGACUGCCGGUGUUAAACCGGAGGAAGGUGGGGAUGACGUCAAGUCCUCAUGGCCUUUAUGCCCAGGGCUACACACGUGCUACAAUGGGUGGUACAAAGAGAGGCAAGCUCGCGAGAGUAAGCAAAUCUCAAAAAGCCAUCCUCAGUUCGGAUUGCACUCUGCAACUCGAGUGCAUGAAGUUGGAAUCGCUAGUAAUCGUGGAUCAGCAUGCCACGGUGAAUACGUUCCCGGGCCUU
rnacentral:rRNA from 1 species